AUAAAAAUCAACUUUGUUGGUGAAUCAUAAUAACUUCUCGGACCGCAUGGCCUCGUGCUGGCGGUGCUUCAUUCAAAUAUCUGCCCUAUCAACUGUCGAUGGUAGGAUAGAGGCCUACCAUGGUUGCAACGGGUAACGGGGAAUAAGGGUUCGAUUCCGGAGAGGGAGCCUGAGAAACGGCUACCACAUCCAAGGAAGGCAGCAGGCGCGCAAAUUACCCGAUCCCAACACGGGGAGGUAGUGACAAUAUGUAACAAUAUACGGCCUUAUACGUCGUAUAAUUGGAAUGAGUACAAUUUAAAUCCCUUAACGAGGAACAAUUGGAGGGCAAGUCUGGUGCCAGCAGCCGCGGUAAUUCCAGCUCCAAUAGCGUAUAUUAAAGUUGUUGCAGCUAAAAAGCUCGUAGUUGGACCUUGGACCUGGACAGGCGGUCCGCCUCACGGCGAGUACUGUCUUGCUGGGUCUUUCCUCUUGGUGAUCUGUUGUUUCGGCAG
rnacentral:rRNA from 1 species